rnacentral:rRNA from 1 species
UAAUUGAAGAGGUUUGGAAAGACCCACCACAGAAGGUAAUAGUCCUGUAUGUUAAACGAGAAGACUUUAGAUAUGAUCCAGAGUACCACGGGACACGUGAAACCCUGUGGGAAGCAGGAGGGACCACCCUCCAAGGCUAAAUACUACCUAGUGACCGAUAGCGUAUAGUACCGUGAGGGAAAGGUGAAAAGAACCCCGGGAGGGGAGUGAAAUAGAACCUGAAACCCUGCACUUACAAGCUGUGGAAGCACAUUUCUUGUGUGACCGCGUACUUUUUGUAGAACGGGCCAACGAGUUACGUUAAGUAGCAAGGUUAAGCACUUAAGGUGCGGAGCCGUAGCGAAAGCGAGUUUUAACUGAGCGUUCAGUUACUUGACGUAGACCCGAAACCGGGCGACCUACCCAUGAGCAGGAUGAAGCGAAAGUAAAAUUUCGUGGAGGUCCGAACCCACGAGCGUUGAAAAGCUCGGGGAUGACUUGUGGGUAGCGGUGAAAUUCCAAUCGAGCCCGGAGAUAGCUGGUUCUCCCCGAAAUAGCUUUAGGGCUAGCCUCAAGGUGAGAGAUACGGAGGUAGAGCACUGAAUGUCCUAGGGGGUAUUGCACCUACCGAAGACUAUCAAACUCCGAAUGCCGUCAUCUUAUACUUGGGAGUCAGACUGUGGGUGAUAAGAUUCAUAGUCGAAAGGGCAACAGCCCAGAUCGUCAGCUAAGGUCCCUAAAUGUAAGUUAAGUGGUAAAGGAUGUGGGAUUGCACAGACAACCAGGAUGUUGGCUUAGAAGCAGCCACUCAUUCAAAGAGUGCGUAAUAGCUCACUGGUCGAGUGAUCCUGCGCCGAAGAUUUCCGGGGCUAAAACUUACUACCGAAGCUACGGCAUCAGUAAUGAUGGGUAGGGGAGCUUCCCAUACGGGUUGAAGCAUGACCGUAAGGACAUGUGGACAGUAUGGGAGUGAGAAUGUUGGCAUGAGUAGCGAGAUGUGGGUGAGAAUCCCACAGGCCGUAAACCCAAGGUUUCCAGGGGAAGGUUCGUCCGCCCUGGGUUAGUCGGGACCUAAGCUGAGGCCGAAAGGCGUAGGUGAUGGACAACAGGUUGAUAUUCCUGUACUACCGAUAACCGUUUGAGAGAAGGGAUGACACAGUAGGAUAAGCUAAGCACACUGUUGGUUAUGUGUGCCCAAGCAUUGAGGCAGUCAAAGUAGGCAAAU